UACAGAGGGUGCAAGCGUUAAUCGGAUUUACUGGGCGUAAAGCGCGCGUAGGCGGCUAAUUAAGUCAAAUGUGAAAUCCCCGAGCUUAACUUGGGAAUUGCAUUCGAUACUGGUUAGCUAGAGUGUGGGGGAGGAUGGUAGAAUUCCAGGUGUAGCGGUGAAAUGCGUAGAGAUCUGGAGGAAUACCGAUGGCGAAGGCAGCCAUCCGGCCUAACACUGACGCUGAGGUGCGAAAGCAUGGGGAGCAAACAGGAUUAGAAACCCGCGUAGUCC
rnacentral:rRNA from 1 species